rnacentral:lncRNA from 1 species
GAGAUAAAAUUUUAUUGUAAUACUUUUAACUCUUAAAAGCAAGCAAACCAAAAUCUAUUUCCAGGUAGACCUUACUGAUUUUAAUCUGUUGUCCAGAAAGAUAGCAACCCAAUAGGGGGGUGAAUUGGGUUGUUUAAAAUUUUAACUAAAUUCUAAAAUCUAAACAAGUAUGUACUUCAAGUUAAUCUAACUAAUCUAAUUGUAAAGUAUUUGAUAUAUGCAGUAGUGGAUUUAAGAUAUAAGAGAAAUAAUAUGAU